rnacentral:lncRNA from 1 species
UUUUGCCAUGAUCAGUGAUCACAAACUUGUACAACUCCUUUCCAUAACUUCUGAGAGUGUACAGGCAGCUGAAGAAAAUGUGAUCCCUUGUCUCCUUUUUAUCCCCACACAAUAAGCAUUCAAAAUAACUUGGUAGCCUCAAGAAUGCAACCUUCCCUUGGUGGGUAAUCUGUAAGGAACUGUAAGCCAAGCAAUGAAUGAGUGCCUG